rnacentral:rRNA from 1 species
AGAGUUUGAUCAUGGCUCAGAUUGAACGCUGGCGGCAUGCCUUACACAUGCAAGUCGAACGGUAACGCGGGGCAACCUGGCGACGAGUGGCGAACGGGUGAGUAAUGCAUCGGAACGUGCCCAGUAGUGGGGGAUAGCCCGGCGAAAGCCGGAUUAAUACCGCAUACGACCUAUGGGUGAAAGCGGGGGGCUCGCAAGAGCCUCGCGCUAUUGGAGCGGCCGAUGUCAGAUUAGCUAGUUGGUGGGGUAAAGGCCUACCAAGGCGACGAUCUGUAGCUGGUCUGAGAGGACGACCAGCCACACUGGGACUGAGACACGGCCCAGACUCCUACGGGAGGCAGCAGUGGGGAAUUUUGGACAAUGGGCGCAAGCCUGAUCCAGCCAUGCCGCGUGCGGGAAGAAGGCCUUCGGGUUGUAGACCGCUUUUGUCAGGGAAGAAACGCUCUGGGCUAAUACCCUGGGGUAAUGACGGUACCUAAGUAUAGACC